rnacentral:lncRNA from 1 species
GAGAGAGAGAGAGAUAAUCUGCAGAUGUUGUCCUAAAUUUUUCCAGUGGUUGUCCAGCUAACAUACGCGAGUCUAUGUAAACCGCUCGAUAAUUCGCAGUCGUUGUCUCGGACAACCACUGCAAGCUGCAGUGGUUGUCCCGAUCGCGUCCCGACCACGUAAUUCACGAUCGCACACUUCGCCCUCCAUAACACUGUAAAUUUCUUUCAACAUUUGUACAUUGAAGAUACCACUAUUAUGUUACAACAACAACAACAAAUAAUCUGUGAUUUCGAAUUUCGGGAAUCCAAGUUGUACGGUAAAUGUCUAAUUAUCGGAAAAUAUUGAUACCUAUUACAUUUAUCUUGUGACUACUCGCUAUUUUAGGAUUUUGAAAAUACGUGAAAAUAAUUUAAUACGAGAUAACGCCGCUUGAGAUGAGCAGAAUGAUGCUAAUUGCUAACGAAGCUUCGAAGUUUGCCAAAGUGAAAGUAAGACUCGCUUGCCGGGAAGUCUGGCGGCUCUCGCGAGGAGCUAACUCCAGGUAGCUGCGCCCCCCAAGGCGUGGCGGCAGAGCUUCCUGGAGUUGACAAGUUGCCUACUGCACUGCCUACCGAGCUGAGCUGAGCUGAGCUGAGUGUGACAUGUGAAGCCACAACAAUUGCUAGCCCAACAGCUCUCAUAUUGACAUCUACUGUAAAGUUAAUCCAGGAUGUCAUUGUCUAGUGACAAUGACAUAGUGCUUGUUCAGUGGGACAGAGAUGGUCAGGAAAAUACAGUUCUCAAGAAUGAAUUGUGCUACACUGCAAGACUGAAAUUGGGGUCUAGAGCGGUGAUGAAUUAGACAGUUUGGAACUGAUGGACCCUGGCCUGGAACAGUGACAGUCAUUGCUGAUUUUGACACAGAAUCUAAAGCUGGGUCUGAAAAUGACGAUGUUCCACUUGCUUCUCUCAGAGAAAUAGAGAGAGGGUACCCUUCUGCACUCAGCCCCCUGCAAGUGGACCCUCCAGCAACCAGCCCCCUGCGAGUGGACCCUUCUGCACCCAGACCCCUCCGAGUGGACUCUCCAGCAACCAGCCCCCUGCGAGUGGACCCUUCUGCACCAAAUCACUUGUAUCAAAUUUUUAGGUCGUGAUAUCUCCGGAAUCCUUUCACGAUCAAUUUUCUAGUUGAAGCAAUUUUUAGUAAAAAACUUUGCUGUCCAUUUGGUAAUAAUUGAAAUAAACACAUUUGUGUAGAAUAUGAGAAAUCAUU